rnacentral:rRNA from 1 species
UACGGAGGGUGCAAGCGUUAAUCGGAAUUACUGGGCGUAAAGCGCACGCAGGUGGCUGAGAAAGUCGAUUGUGAAAGCCCUGGGCUUAACCUGGGAAUUGCAGUCGAAACUACUCGGCUAGAGUAUGGGAGAGGGUAGUGGAAUUCCCGGUGUAGCGGUGAAAUGCGUAGAUAUCGGGAGGAACAUCAGUGGCGAAGGCGGCUACCUGGCCCAAUACUGACACUCAGGUGCGAACAGCGUGGGGAGCAAACAGGG